CCGAACUGAGAGGUUGAUCGGCCACAUUGGGACUGAGACACGGCCCAAACUCCUACGGGAGGCAGCAGUAGGGAAUCUUCCACAAUGGACGAAAGUCUGAUGGAGCAACGCCGCGUGAAUGAAGAAGGCCUUCGGGUCGUAAAAUUCUGUUGUCAGAGAAGAACGUGCGUGAGAGUAACUGUUCACGUAUUGACGGUAUCUGACCAGAAAGCCACGGCUAACUACGUGCCAGCAGCCGCGGUAAUACGUAGGUGGCGAGCGUUGUCCGGAUUUAUUGGGCGUAAAGGGAACGCAGGCGGUCUUUUAAGUCUGAUGUGAAAGCCUUCGGCUUAACCGAAGUAGAGCAUUGGAAACUGGAAGACUUGAGUGCAGAAGAGGAGAGUGGAACUCCAUGUGUAGCGGUGAAAUGCGUAGAUAUAUGGAAGAACACCAGUGGCGAAAGCGGCUCUCUGGUCUGUAACUGACGCUGAGGUUCGAAAGCGUGGGUAGCAAACAGGAUUAGAUACCCUGGUAGUCCACGCCGUAAACGAUGGGUGCUAAGUGUUGGAGGGUUUCCGCCCUUCAGUGCUGCAGCUAACGCAUUAAGCACUCCGCCUGGGGAGUACGGUCGCAAGACUGAAACUCAAAGGAAUUGACGGGGGCCCGCACAAGCGGUGGAGCAUGUGGUUUAAUUCGAAGCAACGCGAAGAACCUUACCAGGUCUUGACAUCUUCUGACAAUUCCAGAGAUGGAACGUUCCCUUCGGGGACAGAAUGACAGGUGGUGCAUGGUUGUCGUCAGCUCGUGUCGUGAGAUGUUGGGUUAAGUCCCGCAACGAGCGCAACCCUUAUUGUCAGUUGCCAUCAUUAAGUUGGGCACUCUGGCGAGACUGCCGGUGACAAACCGGAGGAAGGUGGGGAUGACGUCAAAUCAUCAUGCCCCUUAUGACCUGGGCUACACACGUGCUACAAUGGACGGUACAACGAGUCGCUAACUCGCGAGGGCAAGCUAAUCUCUUAAAGCCGUUCUCAGUUCGGAUUGCAGGCUGCAACUCGCCUGCAUGAAGUCGGAAUCGCUAGUAAUCGCGAAUCAGCAUGUCGCGGUGUAUACGUUCCCGGGCCUUGUACACACCGCCCGUCACACCAUGAGAGUUUGUAACACCCAAAGUCGGUGGGGUAACCUUUUGGAGCCAGCCGCCUAAGGUGGGACAGAUGAUUGGGGUGAAGUCGUAACAAGGUA
rnacentral:rRNA from 1 species